rnacentral:tRNA from 1 species
GGGAAAUUAGCUCAAAGGUAGAGCACUCGACUGUUAAUCGAGCGGUUAUAGGUUCGAAUCCUAUAUUUCCCGCCA